CCAAGUAUGGCGGUGGAAACGAGUGGCCGGGGGAAGGGAGUCCAUAUUACCCCUUAUUUACGCCUCCACACAGCCGGCACAGCAGAACACAGCAUCCAGCACGUGCCCCGAGCCUUCCGCCACUCAGCACUAGUAGCAGGUCUGUGUGUGCAGCUCCGUCCAACCCCACAAGGGAAGAUACGGAUGGGAAACGGAGAAGAAGAAGAAGUGUGUGCAACCAUUACCAGGAGAGUCACACCAGUAAUGCUGAGACAACUUAGGACUCUGGCAGGACUCACAGGAGGCUGUUGCUUGGAGGGCGAGGCAGCGAGAUGAACAGUACAGCACUAUGAGAGUGUGGCUGUCCCAGCAGAGCCCUGUCCUGACCCUCUGCUGGUGUCAUGCCCGACCCCAUAGAUGUCAAGGACCCUGGAGAGCCAUAAGACUUGUAUCUUCUACUUGUAUACAUGAAGGAAUGGUUGUCUCCAAGGAACAUGUAUCUCUGUGUCCCUCCAAGCCGUGCCCCACCACCUGGAGAGAGUGCCGGCCAGGGAGCACGCCGGCACACCCACCCUGAGGCUCUAUCCCUGGGGUGUCUGCCAAGCAAGUCCCCACCAGGCCUGCACCUUCCUGAGUCACCCAUGGCAGAGUACAUCUUUCACUCUGCCAGCAUUUACAACUUGAGGGUUGUGUGCUCUACAUCUUUUGCUGCACCUUCAAGAGUCAGGAUCAGAAGGAUGGAGGCCAGCAUCACCAAGUACCUUCAUUGCAUUGCCACAGAAAGAUUCACCAUUACCCUAGCCUGCCUUGGUGGAAAACAGGGUCUGGCUAACAGGGUACAGUGUAUAAGGAAGCUGUAGAAAAAAAAAGCUUCGUUAUCAAGAUGAGGGAGGUUAGCCCGAGUUUAGCUUCACUUAUUUUUGUUGUCAUGGAAAGAAAUAUACAGCAGACCCUUUAUUUCGUGCGAGACUGGUACCAAAGAAAUUCUAACAAAAUGGAGGUGUUAUUUCAGUGAGAUUGAUUAAUGAGGCUGGUGGGACUUUUUUUAUGGUUCGUGUGUGUAUAUGUGUGAAGGAGUUGGCUCAAGGGGUGUGUUAUAAGUGACUUUUUUGAUGGCUGGCUGGUGGGUCUGCCUUACGUUGACCCCACACGCUGCCCUUUGGAGGAAGCUGGGUGAAGAUGGAAGGGGAAAUGUUAUACUGUUGGCACCCCUAAUAUCUUUUCUUACACUUGAGAGACAGAAUCAGAGGCAUUUAUUUACAAUUGUGUUACUAGAAAUACUUACACGUUCACCCCAGCCUGUCUUUGCUUGCUGGGGAAGA